GCCCCCGUAGCACAGUGGUAGUGGUAAGUCCUUGGCCGACUCACGACCUUUGCGUCUCUGGUCCUAGCUUCUAACAUAGUACAGCGUGUCACUCGUAAUGACAAGGUCGUCUGUUCGAUCCAGGCCGUGGGCA